rnacentral:tRNA from 1 species
UAGACGCUGCGGACUUAAAAAAAUCCGUUGGCUUUAUUGACCGUGAGGGUUCAAGUCCCUCUACCCCCA